GCCGAGCUCGAUAGUGUGAGCUUGUAACCCAAAUGGAGGCAUUGAAGUGGUUGAAGGUUGGUUCGUUCCACUGUGUAGGGUUUGACCGAUACUAUCUCUGGCCUGCCCAUUCCAAAUUAAUCUGUACUAAUUCUUCCCAAGUGAUCACUCUCAAACCAUCGUGAAAGAGCUAGGGACAAACUUCUCAAAUCCACAACAUAUGGAUUGUGUUGGUAUUAACCACUUUA
rnacentral:SRP_RNA from 1 species